AUACGGAGGGUGCAAGCGUUACUCGGAAUCACUGGGCGUAAAGGACGCGUAGGCGGGUUGGUAAGUCAGGUGUGAAAUCCUACAGCUUAACUGUAGAACUGCACUUGAAACUACCAACCUAGAGUAUGGGAGGGGGAGAUGGAAUUAGUGGUGUAGGGGUAAAAUCCGUAGAUAUCACUAGGAAUACCGAAAGCGAAGGCGAUCUCCUGGAACAUAACUGACGCUAAGGCGUGAAAGCGUGGGGAGCAAACAGGAUUAGAAACCCGGGUAGUCC
rnacentral:rRNA from 1 species